rnacentral:rRNA from 1 species
GAUCUAGCCAUGGGCAGGUUGAAGGUUGGGUAACACUAACUGGAGGACCGAACCGACUAAUGUUGAAAAAUUAGCGGAUGACCUGUGGCUGGGGGUGAAAGGCCAAUCAAACCGGGAGAUAGCUGGUUCUCCCCGAAAGCUAUUUAGGUAGCGCCUCGUGAAUUCAUCUCCGGGGGUAGAGCACUGUUUCGGCUAGGGGGCCAUCCCGGCUUACCAACCCGAUGCAAACUGCGAAUACCGGAGAAUGUUAUCACGGGAGACACACGGCGGGUGCUAACGUCCGUCGUGAAGAGGGAAACAACCCAGACCGCCAGCUAAGGUCCCAAAGUCAUGGUUAAGUGGGAAACGAUGUGGGAAGGCCCAGACAGCCAGGAUGUUGGCUUAGAAGCAGCCAUCAUUUAAAGAAAGCGUAAUAGCUCACUGGUCGAGUCGGCCUGCGCGGAAGAUGUAACGGGGCUAAACCAUGCACCGAAGCUGCGGCAGCGAACGUAUCACUUAAAGCGAUUCAGCGGGUUACGAUUGACGGAGCGAAGCGACGUCAAAGCGUAUACAAAGUCGAGUCGGUUUAAGGAUACGUUCGUUGGGUAGGGGAGCGUUCUGUAAGCCUGUGAAGGUGGCCUGUGAGGG